AGUGAACGCUGGCGGUAGGCCUAACACAUGCAAGUCGAACGGCAGCACAGUAAGAGCUUGCUCUUACGGGUGGCGAGUGGCGGACGGGUGAGGAAUACAUCGGAAUCUACUUUUUCGUGGAGGAUAACGUAGAGAAACUUACGAUAAUACCGCAUACGACGUACGGGUGAAAGCAGUGGAUCUUCGCACCUUGCGCGAUUGAAUGAGCCGAUGCCGGAUUAGCUAGUUGGCGGGGUAAGGGCCCACCAAGGCGACGAUCCGUAGCUGGCCUGAGAGGAUGAUCGGCCACACUGGAACUGAGACACGGUCCAGACUCCUACGGGAGGCAGCAGUGGGGAAUAUUGGACAAUGGGCGCAAGCCUGACCCAGCCAUACCGCGUGAGUGAAGAAGGCCUUCGGGUUGUAAAGCCCUUUUGUUGGGAAAGAACAGCUGUAGGUUUAUACCCCGCUGUUCUGACGGUACCCAAAGAAUAAGCACCGGCUAACUUCGUG
rnacentral:rRNA from 1 species